rnacentral:rRNA from 1 species
CAGUAGCCACGGUAAUACAGAGGAUGCAAGCGUUAUCCGGAAUGAUUGGGCGUAAAGCGUCUGUAGGUGGCUUUUCAAGUCCGCCGUCAAAUCCCAGGGCUCAACCCUGGACAGGCGGUGGAAACUACCAAGCUGGAGUACGGUAGGGGCAGAGGGAAUUUCCGGUGGAGCGGUGAAAUGCGUAGAUAUAUGGAGGAACACCGGUGGCGAAAGCGGCUCUCUGGCUUAUAACUGACGCUGAGGCUCGAAAGCGUGGGGAGCAAACAGGAUUAGAUACCCCGGUAGUCCCUGUCUCUUAUAC